rnacentral:tRNA from 1 species
GGUGAUUUGGCAGACUAGUGUAUUAAAUUUAGAAUUUAAUUAAGUAAAACAUUAUUUACAUUCACUA